rnacentral:rRNA from 1 species
UACGUAGGGUGCAAGCGUUGUCCGGAAUUAUUGGGCGUAAAGAGCUCGUAGGCGGUUUGUCGCGUCUGCUGUGAAAACUCGGGGCUUAACUCCGGGCCUGCAGUGGGUACGGGCAGACUAGAGUGCAGUAGGGGAGACUGGAAUUCCUGGUGUAGCGGUGAAAUGCGCAGAUAUCAGGAGGAACACCGGUGGCGAAGGCGGGUCUCUGGGCCGUAACUGACGCUGAGGAGCGAAAGCGUGGGGAGCGAACAGG